UCUGGCUACUUCCUGCUGAACUGGGAUGGUGAGGGGUAUUGGGCCUCCCCCUCUUGCUAGUCUCAAGCCUCAGAGUCCUUAUAGUGGGGUCCAUCUAAGGGUGAGUGAUGUUUUCUGUGGUCAGCUGCAGUUUUACAUGUAUUCACACA